GCCACGACGAGGUGCCGCUCCUGCCGCCGGGCACGUCCCUGGCCUCGCCGCUGCCGUCUACGUCCACGCCAUGCUGCUGCAUCCACCUCACUAACCUCUAGCUGCUGGUUGAGAGCACAUCCGAGGAGUUGCAGCGAAGCGGGGGGUACAGGGAGGUGGCCUCUGAUGGCAAACAUGUGGAGACAUGGUGGUGAACAUCAUCGGCGGCUUCCGCUGAGGCCCUCCUGUGGCUGCGGAUCAUUCCUGGAAUUGCGAGGUAUGAACCCCUCUCUCCUCGGUCUGUUUCAAGUGCUAUUGUGGUUGUUACUGCAACCUAAUUCAUGUGUUGGUGACACAUGAUUUUCUUUUCUUUGCAAUGCAAGGAGUAGAACAGCAGCCAGCAAGAUGAGAUUCAGCUGCUGUUGUAUAUCUGGAUGCCAGAUGAGUUGGUCUUGUGUGAAUUCAUUGCUGUAUUUUCCGAUCAAUGCUGAUCCAUUAGCUGAAGUGUGUGUUGGCUACUA